UCGUAUGAAACUAGAAACCACUUUUAUCUCACACCUAACCAUCCUUAAAAAUCACCAUUGAAGAUCUGUAUAACCAAAUCAUAUCCAAAAAUUAAACAAAAUCUUAAAUCAAAUCGGCAAGAAGUGCACGUGUGAUCAACAUUGAAGAUCUGUAAAUUGUUUUCCAUUAUUCAAUCAUAUUAUGUUUAUCUUAUUCUAUAUUGGAACAUGACGAUUCGUUUCGUUAAUUUUGAAAUUGCCAAUUAGUAAAUUGUUGCAUAUGUAAUCAAAACGAUGGAUACAGGGUUUGGAGCUGUUAAAAUCAAAGGGGAAACAAGUGGGUAGGUGAAAGUCAAAGAAACGAGUAUGUUUUAAGUGGUUGGGUACAUUUUAAUUUAUCUUUGUGUUUAUAAUGAAAAUAUAAUGGUAGUGAAUUGUUAGACUUGUGGCCGAGUAACGCUAAGAAAAGAAGGUGUACAAGACAAAGGAAGGAAAGAGGGACGGUAUAAGGCAAGUACUUGCUAGACUUGUGGCUGAUUACAAUGCAUGCUGGUAAUUACUUGCGAGUAUGAAGAUCAUUCAAUUUGGCAGGCUUCAUUUGAUUUUGACAGUGUAGCUUCUAUGCAUAUUGUUGUUCUUGUACAUUAAUAGAAUAAUAGUGUAGAAGCAAUGUGGUAGAUGUUUUCUCCAGCCACUUACUGGAGUUUUGGUUGUUUAAUGCAAUGAUUAAUGUGAUUAGAAAGUGUAUAUGUAUGUACAUUUGAACAAUCAAAAAGGGUAUAUUGUUAGAUGAAAAA